rnacentral:rRNA from 1 species
UACGGAGGGUGCAAGCGUUAUCCGGAUUUACUGGGUUUAAAGGGUGCGUAGGCGGACCGGAAAGUCAGUGGUGAAAUCUUCGAGCUUAACUCGGAAACUGCCAUUGAUACUAUUUGUCUUGAAUACUUUGGAGGUAAGCGGAAUAUGUCAUGUAGCGGUGAAAUGCUUAGAUAUGACAUAGAACACCAAUUGCGAAGGCAGCGUACUACACAAUAAUUGACGCUGAGGCACGAAAGCGUGGGGAGCAAACAGG